CCUACGGGAGGCAGCAGUGGGGAAUAUUGGACAAUGGGCGAAAGCCUGAUCCAGCAAUGCCGCGUGAGUGAUGAAGGCCUUCGGGUCGUAAAGCUCUUUUACCAGGGAUGAUAAUGACAGUACCUGGAGAAUAAGCUCCGGCUAACUCCGUGCCAGCAGCCGCGGUAAUACGGAGGGAGCUAGCGUUGUUCGGAAUUACUGGGCGUAAAGAGUACGUAGGCGGUUAUUCAAGUCAGAGGUGAAAGCCCGGGGCUCAACCCCGGAACUGCCUUUGAAACUAGAUAACUAGAGUCUUGGAGAGGUUAGUGGAAUUCCGAGUGUAGAGGUGAAAUUCGUAGAUAUUCGGAAGAACACCAGUGGCGAAGGCGACUAACUGGACAAGUACUGACGCUGAGGUACGAAAGCGUGGGGAGCAAACAGGAUUAGAUACCCUGGUAGUCCACGCCGUAAACGAUGAUAACUAGUUGUUCGGUCACUUGGUGACUGAGUGACGCAGCUAACGCAUUAAGUUAUCCGCCUGGGGAGUACGGUCGCAAGAUUAAAACUCAAAGGAAAUUGACGG
rnacentral:rRNA from 1 species